rnacentral:rRNA from 1 species
AGAGUUUGACGUCUGGCUCAGGACGAACGCUGGCGGCACGCUUAACACAUGCAAGUCGAACGGACUUGAGAGGGCUUGCUCUCUUAAGUUAGUGGCGACGGGUGAGUAACACGUGAGCAACCUGCCUUUAAGAGUGGGAUAACGGUCGGAAACGACCGCUAAUACCGCAUAACAUACACGAACCGCAUGGUUUGUGUAUCAAAGAUUUAUCGCUUAAAGAUGGGCUCGCGUCUGAUUAGCUUGUUGGUGAGGUAACGGCUCACCAAGGCGACGAUCAGUAGCCGUACUGAGAGGUAGAACGGCCACAUUGGGGCUGAGACACGGCCCAGACUCCUACGGGAGGCAGCAGUGGGGAAUAUUGCACAAUGGAGGAAACUCUGAUGCAGCGAUGCCGCGUGAGGGAAGAAGGUUUUCGGAUUGUAAACCUCUGUCUUAAGGGACGAUAAUGACGGUACCUUAGGAGGAAGCUCCGGCUAACUACGUG